CCCAUGAAGCUUGCUGACAUUGGGCAUCCUGAAAUGGAGAGAGUGAAAUGAAGAAUUUGAACUUCCCCUAGGCCGGAAACACACACAAGUGCUCAAAACUCCUCACUGAUUGGAUCUCAAAAUUUCUUCACACUAAGGCUGUCAAGAUUGGACUGGAAAAAAAAAAAAAAA